rnacentral:ncRNA from 1 species
UACCUGGUUGAUCCUGCCAGUAGUCAUAUGCUUGUCUCAAAGCUUAAGCCAUGCAAGUCUAAGUUCAUGCCGUAAACGAAUGGUGAAACCGCGAAUGGCUCAGGAACCGGACCUAAUCCUCGGGACCGUAUUCCUCACCACGAGGAGAGUGGAUAAC